rnacentral:lncRNA from 1 species
AUGGAAGAUGGUUUUGGCUAGAGGAGGUGAGUAGUGUGAGAAGUGAACGGUGAUGGGUAUAGUGAUGGCAAGAUAGAUUAGAGAUAUGAGUAGCGAGUUUGAGGGGUAGUAAAGGAUGGAGGUGCAGGUACUAUGGAUUAAGGUCGUGGGUAGAUGGAUAUGGGGGGACCAUUGAAGGUGAUGGUGUGCAUGUCAUCAGUGAAACAGAUGGUGGGAAAUAAUGGGAAGUGGGUUUGGUAGUCAUGAAAAAUGGGUUUCAAGAGAAAGCUUUGGAAGGAUGUUAAGGGGUCAUGCAUAUGCAGAGGAUUGAAAAGAAAUGAAUGGGGAAUGAAUGGUGGGGUGAGUGAUGGAAAUUAGUGGGAUUAAUGGGUAUUAUGGGUAUGGAAAGAGGAAAAGGGGUAGUGGGAUGGGUAUUGGAUACAGGCAGCGAGCA